AAGAAGUAAUUUUUUUUUCUUCCUCGGAAUGUAGAGCGAUCAAAUGGAUCCCAAGAUGACACUUCAAAUUCUCUUGGUGUGAGGUUGAUGGGCCAAGGAUCCACAACUUCAGGUACUUACUCUGUGACGAAUUGAUGUAUUCAAGUUCUGUAUUUUUCAGUAUGGCUUCUUUGUUCUUUCAUCUAGUCCACUGUUAGUUCUUAAUGCUGAAUUGCUGAUAUGGUCUUUUGGGCAGAAGUGCUGAAUUUGUUAAGAUCUUGUAAACAAAUGGAUAUUCUUCUCCAUUAACACUCAUACACAAGUAUCCUGAGAAUCAAAUUCAUCUUCAUUUAUGACAUGCAUUUUCUGUAUUCGAUCUUGUAAGUGCGAGUUAUAUAACUAUCCUUUAAUUUUAUAUUUUCACCACGCAAGUCUGCAUGUUAUAUACUGUUGGAGCAAACUAUGUGCCACUUCUGGUGAUGAGUGUUGAUGGAUUUAAGAGGCGUGCUGCUUGUUUUAUGUUUAGUUAAAAAGGGCAGCAGAUGAAUUUUCCUUUGUUGUUGUUUUGGUUUUUAAUUCUGUUGAAUGUUUUUAGUGAUUCUUAGUCAGUUCAUUGUUCAUAAUUUUGACUUGUAUUGCAUUUCUUGAAACUCAUCAGCCAUAGAAUACUGAUUAAUAUGUUAUACCAGAUAUGAGAUAUCAUUUGGUAUCAGAGGUGCUUUAAUGAAUUCAUCACUCAUCUAGACUCUUGCUGAGUUCCUACCCAAAAAUUGAAGUUUGAAGAAAUAGUAUUUAUACUAAUUAAUCUUUUUAUUUUAUCGUUGGUUAGUCUCAGAUACUGAUUAGAUAUUUGGUCUCAUAAGUUCACCUCUUAAGUAUCUAUUUUCAUAGGAUGUGCCAAACUUUAGCUGUUAACAUAACCCAGUGCUCCAUCCAUAUAUACAAGUCUGAUAUUUGUCAAGUAUCUUUCUCAAAAUGUUAGGUUGAGAUGCUGGAGUAGAGUAGAGAUAUUUUUUUCUUGUCUCACUCGCCCGUAAUCUUUAUUACCAUUAGUCUAUAACUUAAUUGCAUGAUUAUGACGACUGAUUGUCAUAGUCUCUCUUGCAGCCUCAGUUUCCUGUAACCUUGUGUUGGAACUUGAUUAGUUUGUGAACUUACAAAAUCAUCCGCUCAUAUUGUACAUAGCUGAUAGUAGCUUUCGCCUUGAAGAGAUUAAUACUACGUAUGUGCCAGGUUUUGUUAGCUUAUGUCAGGUUGUUAGAGUUAUAAAGGGGAGGGAAUAUGCUUAUAAUUCCCAGUCUAUUUCAGUCCUUCAAUAUUGUUAAUCUUAUAUUGGGAAAAUUACUUCGUUUUGCACAGCAUCCCAGAUCUAUAAAAGAAAGGUUCCGUACCAUGCAUAUAAUGCUUCCUGCAGCACAGGCCCUGCUAACUACGAUUUCAUAUUUCUCCUUUAUUGAAUUCUAUUGAAGCAAUUUAUCAUGUGUUCCAGUUUUAUUGGACUAUUUGUUGAUCGUUUCAUAUACAAUGGGAGGUUAAGGUUUAUAUAUACUUCUAUCACAUAUGCCUAAUCUAUUUAUGUGGAUGUAAAGAACUCUCUGGAAUAAAGGAAAGAGAUUCACCAGUUUAAUCUUUUAGUCACAGUAGACAUUCAGUACUGAUCACUGACUUUCUGGUCCUCUGGAAUUGUGUUUGUCUUUACUUACAGGCAACAUGGAUGAUCUUACAAUGGGGCGUCAAGCUGUCCUGGUUCAAUACUUGCGGUAACUUUACAUAAGAGGCCUCAUGUAAUUGUGGGAACCCGUCCCUUGUGGGAUCUUCUAAGUUAUAUGGCCGAUAUACUAUCCUUUAUCAGCCCUGUGUGAUACCAGAUCUGCAGCUUAGAGUAUCAGAACAGUAUCGGAAAGAGGUUGGUUCUCCUAUCUUUCUUGGAUAUUUCCACUCCUGCAGCAGCUCGCAUGGGUAUUUAUUGGUAACUGAUG
rnacentral:lncRNA from 1 species